GACGAACGCUGGCGGCGUGCCUAAUACAUGCAAGUCGGCCGCAGUUGCGCACGGGUGAGUAACGCGUCGGUAACUGCCUAUUAGAGGGGGAUAACUAUUGGAAACGAUAGCUAAUACCGCAUACUAGUAGAUGGACCUGCGUUGUAUUAGCUAGUAGGUAGGGUAAUGGCCUACCUAGGCAACGAUACAUAGCCGACCUGGGAGGGUGAUCGGCCGCACUGGGACGGAAACGGCCCAGACUGCUACGGGAGGCAGCAGUAGGGAAUCUUCGGCAAUGGGGGGAACACUGAACGAGCAACGCCGCGGGAGUGAAGAAGGUUUUCGGAUGGGAAAGCUCUUUUGUUAAGGAAGCGGUACUUAACCAGAAAGGGACGGCUAACUACGUGCCAGCAGCCGCGGUAAUAC
rnacentral:rRNA from 1 species